AGCUUUGCGCAGUGGCAGUAUCGUAGCCAAUGAGGUUUAUCCGAGGUGCGAUUAUUGCUAAUUGAAAAGCGAAACCUAGGGGCGCCUGGGUGGCUCGGUCAGUUGAGCAGCUCAGGUCAUGAUCUCACAGUUCAUGAG